rnacentral:rRNA from 1 species
AUGUCUCAGUACAAGCCAAAUUAAGGUGAAACCGCGAAAGGCUCAUUAAAUCAGUUAUGGUUCCUUAGAUCGUACCCACACUUACUUGGAUAACUGUGGUAAUUCUAGAGCUAAUACAUGCAAACAGAGCUCCGACCGGAGACGGAAGGAGCGCUUUUAUUAGAUCAAAACCAAUCGGUGGCGGGUCCGCUCGUCAUCGUAUAACUUGGUGACUCUGAAUAACUUUAAGCUGAUCGCACGGUCUAGCACCGGCGACGCAUCUUUCAAAUGUCUGCCUUAUCAACUGUCGAUGGUAGGUUCUGCGCCUACCAUGGUCGUAACGGGUAACGGGGAAUCAGGGUUCGAUUCCGGAGAGGGAGCCUGAGAAACGGCUACCACAUCCAAGGAAGGCAGCAGGCGCGCAAAUUACCCACUCCCGGCACGGGGAGGUAGUGACGAAAAAUAACGAUACGGGACUCAUCCGAGGCCCCGUAAUCGGAAUGAGUACACUCUAAACCCUUUAACGAGGAUCAAUUGGAGGGCAAGUCUGGUGCCAGCAGCCGCGGUAAUUCCAGCUCCAAUAGCGUAUAUUAAAGUUGUUGCGGUUAAAAAGCUCGUAGUCGAAUUUGUGUCCCGCGCCGCCGGUUCAUCGUCCGCGGUGUUAACUGGCGUGCCGCGGGACGUCCUGCCGGUGGGCUUAGCUCUUCGGGGCGGUCCAACUCAAUCCCGCCGCGGUGCUCUUCACUGAGUGUCGAGGUGGGCCGGCACGUUUACUUUGAACAAAUUAGAGUGCUUAAAGCAGGCUAAAACUUCGCCUGAAUACUGUGUGCAUGGAAUAAUGGAAUAGGACCUCGGUUCUAUUUUGUUGGUUUUCGGAACCCCGAGGUAAUGAUUAAUAGGAACGGAUGGGGGCAUUCGUANUGCGA